AGGAUUGGCAUGGGCGAAAGCCUGAUCAGCAAUGCCGCGUGUGUGAAGAAGGCCUUCGGGUUGUAAAGCACUUUUGUCCGGAAAGAAAUGGCUCUGGUUAAUACCUGGGGUCGAUGACGGUACCGGAAGAAUAAGGACCGGCUAACUACGUGCCAGCAGCCGCGGUAAUACGUAGGGUCCAAGCGUUAAUCGGAAUUACUGGGCGUAAAGCGUGCGCAGGCGGUUGUGCAAGACCGAUGUGAAAUCCCCGAGCUUAACUUGGGAAUUGCAUUGGUGACUGCACGGCUAGAGUGUGUCAGAGGGGGGUAGAAUUCCACGUGUAGCAGUGAAAUGCGUAGAGAUGUGGAGGAAUACCGAUGGCGAAGGCAGCCCCCUGGGAUAACACUGACGCUCAUGCACGAAAGCGUGGG
rnacentral:rRNA from 1 species